GAUGAAGAACGCAGCGAAAUGCGAUAAGUAAUAUGAAUUGCAGAUUUUCGUGAAUCAUCGAAUCUUUGAACGCACAUUGCGCCCUUUGGUAUUCCAAAGGGCAUGCCUGUUUGAGCGUCAUUUCUCUCUCAAAUCUUCGGAUUUGGUUUUGAGUGAUACUCUUAGUCAGACUAGGCGUUUGCUUGAAAUGUAUUGGCAUGAGUGGUACUAGAUAGUGCUAAACUGUUUCAAUGUAUUAGGUUUAUCCAACUCGUUGACCAGUGAAGUAUUUGUUUAUUACACAGGCUCGGCCUUACAACAACAAACAAAGUUUGACCUCAAAUCAGGUAGGACUACCCGCUGAACUUAAGCAUAUCAAUAAGCGGAGGA
rnacentral:misc_RNA from 1 species